UGAAGAGAGUCACUGUGUAUAUUAAGGUGUCCAGUGCCAUCUAAGACCUUCUGCUGGAAGAGAAGGUUUGGUGAGAACUGAGGAAAGCCCUUUGACAGGAGCAGACAGCAGCCUUGCAGCCUGAGAAGGCACGGCCAACAUCACCUGUAAGGAGAGGGACCUCAGCAGGCUUGGCCAAUUCCUCCCAGUCCCCACCAGCGACGCUCCUCUGUGGCAGUCAGGUACUGGGGCAGCUCUGUGCUGCUGUGGGUACAAUCCACAGCCAGGACUUGCAGCGAGUGUCUGUGAAACUGAGGCGUGUGAACCUGUCCUGUGAUCAGCAGACAAGCAGGCAGCCUUCCCCACAGCCUCCACCACCUGAGCACCGCUGUGCUGGGGAAGGGCUGCCUCGCUCCCCGAGGCUGGGCUGGGAAAAGAUCCAGAAGCCACGCUGAGGAAGGGCUGCGGUGCUGCACUGCUGCCAGGAAAUCUGAACCCUCCAGGCAGGUCUGAAGCUCAGACGAAGCUCAUUAGGGCUCAGCUAUGUAAGGGGUUUUUCCCUGUCCGAUGGUCUCGUGCACCAGCUGUGUCACCUGCAAUGUGCCCCAGCUCGUUUGCAGAGCAAACCUGAGGAGUUUAGGGUUGGGCAGGCACUGUACAAGGAGAAGAGGAAGACUCCUGUGCCCAGAGUACUGAUGCUGGUGAGAAGGCAGAUGUUUUGUUCCAAUGUUUGUUCUUAUUAAUGAAAGGAAGAGGGUCUUUAGAAUAGGUCUUCCUGCAUUUCAGCUGCUUUUUAUAAAGCCUCUGGAAAGUUUCCAGUCUGAUAAUGAUGGGGGAAUGCUGCUCCCAAGAUAUAUUUUGCAUUAAGUGAGUCUGGGAGAAUCGAGGUGGAGACAAGGAUCUCAGGUGCCGAACCUAACAACUCCCACCUGCGUGCCUUAGGAGUCAUGCUCCAUCUUGUGCUCUUUGUGAUGCAAUGAAUGGUUCAAGCUGAGCUAAAAGCCCAGCCCAAAUUCAGGAGUAGAAAGUAAACCCGCCCAGCUCCUUGUGGUUAGGAAAAUGCCUGUGAAGUGAGGGAGGUGGGUUCAAAACCCCGAGGCUGGUAAUGGAAACUAAUUCAAGCAUCUCGUUUGCUGGGCAAGUUCCCU